rnacentral:rRNA from 1 species
CCGAGUGCACUCACGCAAGUGAGCGCUUUUGUGAAGUGUAAAUAGCUUCACGAAUAAGAGCUGGGUAAGACCGGUGCCAGCCGCCGCGGUAACACCGGCAGCUCGAGUGGUGAUCACUAUUAUUGGGCCUAAAGCGUCCGUAGCCGGUUUGAUAAGUCCUUGGGUAAAUCCUGCCGCUUAACGGUAGGAAUUCUGGGGAUACUGUCAGACUUGAGGCCGAGAGAGGUCGGAGGUACUCCUGGGGUAGCGGUGAAAUGCUAUAAUCCUAGGGGGACCACCAGUGGCGAAAGCGUCCGACCAGAGCGGGCCUGACGGUAAGGGACGAAAGCCAGGGGAGCGAACGGGAUUAGAUACCCCGGUAGUCCUGGCCGUAAACGCUGUGGGCUAGGUGUUGCAUGCUCUACGAGGGCGUGCAGUGCCGUAGAGAAGUUGAUAAGCCUACCGCCUGGAAGUACU